GGGAACUACGAGCAAAGCUUAAAACCCAAAGGACUUGACGGUACCCCACAUCCACCUAGAGGAGCCUGUUCUUUAAUCGAUUAUCCACGUUUAACCUCACCAUUUUUAGUUUAUCAGUUUGUAUACCUCCGUCGUAAGUUCACCGCAUGAGCGCAAUAAAGUGAGCUUAAUGUUCAAAUCCUCAUCAACACGUCAGGUCAAGGUGCAACUAAUAAAAUGGGAAGAAAUGGGCUACACUUUCUAAUGUAGAACACACAAAAAACCAACUGAAACAAUAGUUAGAAGGCGGAUUUAGAAGUAAAAAAAACUAGAGAACUUUUUUUAAUUAGGCACUGGGGUGUGUACACACCGCCCGUCACCCUCUUCGUAGCUUAACUAAAGUUCUUAACAAAUAAACGCACAGUAGAAGAGGUAAGUCGUAACACGGUAAGUAUACCGGAAGGUGUGCUUGGGAA
rnacentral:rRNA from 1 species